AUCCUCCCGCACCAUACACAAAACCUUCCCUGGACCCUGCGCCCCCGUUCCCAUCCAGCCGCCAGCUCCCAACCAGCCGCCGCCACCCCCAUCCACCCACCGCCCCCAUCCUGCCCCCGGCUCCAUCUCCCCGCCAUCCAGCCGCCAGCCCCGUGCAGCUGCCGCACCGGCCACCAGUCCCCGGCUCCGUCUCCAUCGAUGGCUUCCUGACCCGGCCACCGUCAAUCUCCGCGCGGACGUGAAGACCCGGCCGGUUACCGCCGGUUCUCAUGCAAGCAUGAAGCUCUGGCCACCUCGACCCCUCCAUAACUAUGCCGCCUUGCUCGUGGACCUUCACCCACCUAUCGGGCUGCUAGUGCAUCCUGGCGUCGUCGAGCCCAUCGCUGAGCCUGCUUGUCGUCGUCACUUCAGAGGGGCCAUCAAUCUUGGUUGCUGGUGUCAAUUUCGGAGAUGAGAGGACCAAAACCUGAAGGACUAACAUUCGCAUCUUCGUUGAACAGUGAUUGGUGUCUUUGCUCAUAUAUUUCAAUAUUUCGGAUCAACUUCUGUCAAAGUGCCAACUUGUUAUAGAUCAAGGAUGAUAUGAAGUCUUCAAGGCAGUCAAAAGGUCCAAGUUCUGGAAUGAUUGCAAGCUUGGUAGUCCAAACUGUAUUGACAUCUCCACUUGUGUUUUAGAUUAUUUACCUUUCUUAAAUGUAAAUUCAUUUCAGGUUCUUAAGUCUUAGAUGUUCUAAGUCUCGUGGAUUUAAAUAUUUUGUGCAGAAGUGCCCAUGCAACCACAGGUGCAUAGGCAACUAACUGGAGUAGUAAGCUUUUGGCAGCUAGGCAUGUUACAAGUUUCUGAAGUGGCCUUUUGUGCAACAAGAAAAUGUUUGAGUGUAUGACUGUAUGGUUAGAACUAGUUACUAGUAGAGAGAAGCAUCUCUCUCGGUGGGUCUAUAUAUAUAUAUAUAUAUAUAUAUAUAUAUAUAUAUAUAUAUAUAUAUAUAUAUAUAUAUAUAUAUAUAUAUAUAAACUGUCGAAAAGAUGUAAACUCGGCGUAGGUCCCCUGUUUUCCCACAGUUCAACUGUGGGCAAAUGGUUUAACUGUCGGCAAAGACUAAGCCGCCGACAACUUAUGCCACUACAGUUAGCUAUCUGUCGGCAAAACUUUUGGCCACAAUUUUUAUGUCUGCACAAGUACCUUCUGCCGACAUUUCUAUGUGUUGGCAUAAGUGUACUAUGAUGUAGUGAUGCUCCCAGAUCGUGCUUUUUAGAAUAGAGCUCCGUCUAGAACACGGAGGUUUUCAGAAAUGUUUGUAAUAAAUCCGUCAGUUUUCACGGGAAUACAGGGAACAAACAUUAUUAGCAUCGAAUGAUAUCAUGUUCGUACGGUUGAAGGGUCA